rnacentral:rRNA from 1 species
CAUGUAGGCGGAAAUGCAAGCUUGGUGUGAAAUACCGGAGCUCAACUUCGGAACAGCAUUGAGAACUGCGUAUCUUGAAUUACUGAAGGGUAACCAGAAUUCCACGUGUAGGGGUGAAAUCUGUAGAUAUGUGGAAGAAUACCAAUGGCGAAGGCAGGUUACCGGCAGCUAAUUGACGCUGAGGUGCGAAAGUGCGGGGAGCGAACAGGA